CAAUAGCGUAUAUUAAAGUUGUUGCGGUUAAAAAGCUCGUAGUUGGAUUUCUGCCGAGGACGACCGGUCCGCCCUCUGGGUGAGUAUCUGGUUCGGCCUGGGCAUCUUCUUGGAGAACGUAUCUGCACUUGACUGUGUGGUGCGGUAUCCAGGACUUUUACUUUGAGGAAAUGAGAGUGUUUCAAGCAGGCGCCUGUCGUGAAUACGUUAGCAUGGAAUAAUAGCAUGGGACCGCGGUCUGAAGCUGUUGGUUUUCGGGCCGUGGUAAUGAAAUAGGGAUAGUUGGGGUAGUUCGUAUUUAACUGUCAGAGGUGAAAUUCUUGGAUUUUUAAAGUACGGACUACUGCGAAAGCAUCUGCCCAGGAUGUUUUAUUGAUCAAGAACGAAAGUUAGGGGAUCGAAGAUGAUCAGAUACCAU
rnacentral:rRNA from 1 species